rnacentral:tRNA from 1 species
CAGGGAGACAACAAAAUGUUUAAUAUUAUUAUUUUGUCACCUUAGGUCGAUCGGUAUCUCACGUUCUUAAUUAAGAAUUUCAUUUCCUAAGUUUUUCUAGGUCACACCCAUUAUUUUCCCUGGGCCAUUAGCUCAGGUGGUUAGAGCGCACCCCUGAUAAGGGUGAGGUCCCUGGUUCAAGUCCAGGAUGGCCCAUAUCUCUAUGUUGGGGGUAUAGCUCAGUUGGUAAGCGCCUGCUUUGCAAGCAGGAUGUCAGCGGUUCGAGUCCGCUUACCUCCACUGAUUACCACCUCUUCCAUAAUCUUUAGAAGGGAAAUGUUUUGAGUUGUGAUCAAAUUCUGAACGAAUCUAGCUUCCUAGUGAAUUCAUUAAGAUGCUGGACUCAUUGAAUUAAUUUCAUUGUUUUCAGAGAACCUUGACAACUGCAUAGAUUAUUUUUAAAGACAAUAAGCAUCUUUAAUGAUGCAGAUUUAUUAUUUGUGCGAUUGCAUUAAUAACAAAUUCUAUUAAGCUGAUGCUUCAA